GACAGAGGGGGCAAGCGUUGCUCGGAAUCACUGGGCGUAAAGGGCGCGUAGGCGGGAUGGCAAGUCGGUCGUGAAAUCCCUGGGCUCAACUCAGGGGGGUCGGCCGAUACUGCCGUUCUUGAGGGAUGCAGAGGAGACUGGAAUUCCCGGUGUAGCGGUGAAAUGCGCAGAUAUCAGGAGGAACACCGGUGGCGAAGGCGACUACCUGGACCAGCACUGACACUGAGGCACGAAAGCGUGGGGAGCAAACAGG
rnacentral:rRNA from 1 species